GAUUGGGGGCCGAUUGAGCGAAACACCAAAUAAUCGACUACACACGUAGAAGCUGCCAUGGAAAUACCGCGGGACGCGGGUUCGAUCCCCGCCGCCUCCACUU
rnacentral:tmRNA from 1 species